AUGGCUCAGAGCGAACGCUGGCGGCAGGCUUAACACAUGCAAGUCGAGCGGGCGUAGCAAUACGUCAGCGGCAGACGGGUGAGUAACGCGUGGGAACGUACCUUUUGGUUCGGGAUAACCCAGGGAAACUUGGACUAAUACCGGAUAAGCCCUUACGGGGAAAGAUUUAUCGCCGAAAGAUCGGCCCGCGUCUGAUUAGCUAGUUGGUGAGGUAAUGGCUCACCAAGGCGACGAUCAGUAGCUGGUCUGAGAGGAUGAUCAGCCACAUUGGGACUGAGACACGGCCCAAACUCCUACGGGAGGCAGCAGUGGGGAAUAUUGGACAAUGGGCGCAAGCCUGAUCCAGCCAUGCCGCGUGAGUGAUGAAGGCCCUAGGGUUGUAAAGCUCUUUUGUGCGGGAAGAUAAUGACGGUACCGCAAGAAUAAGCCCCGGCUAACUUCGUGCCAGCAGCCGCGGUAAUACGAAGGGGGCUAGCGUUGCUCGGAAUCACUGGGCGUAAAGGGUGCGUAGGCGGAUCUUUAAGUCAGGGGUGAAAUCCUGGAGCUCGACUCCAGAACUGCCUUUGAUACUGAGGAUCUCGAGUUCGGGAGAGGUGAGUGGAACUGCGAGUGUAGAGGUGAAAUUCGUAGAUAUUCGCAAGAACACCAGUGGCGAAGGCGGCUCACUGGCCCGAUACUGACGCUGAGGCACGAAAGCGUGGGGAGCAAACAGGAUUAGAUACCCUGGUAGUCCACGCCGUAAACGAUGAAUGCCAGCCGUUAGUGGGUUUACUCACUAGUGGCGCAGCUAACGCUUUAAGCAUUCCGCCUGGGGGAGUACGGUCGCAGAUAAAACUCAAA
rnacentral:rRNA from 1 species